ACGCUAGGGGCGGGGCUUGCGGCGGGCACCGCCCCCUUGGCUUACCCGGUCCGGGGCGGAGCUGGGGGCGGGGCCUAGCACCGCCCCUGCCCCGGCGUCUGCAGCCUCCCGGGCACCCGCGGCUCGCGGCGGAUCCUGGGCCGGGACCGCGGGCCGGCGCUCGGCGGGCGCCCGCGGAAACGUGCGUCCCAGCUGCGCCUCGCUCCGAGCUAGGCCCUCGCAGCGCCAGCCGGGGAAGCAGGUGCUCGUCGCGCGCCCCGGGCCGGGCCCAGAGCUCGCGGUGCGCACGGGGCGUGCGGUUCGGCGUGGUUAUGCAGGUCAGAUCCUUCAAAUGGGCCUUUCAGAAAAACACUAACCAAGCUGGGGAUCUUGAGACGCUUUGCGGACCGGCACAGAGGCAUUUCCCGUACUGAACCCUGCGCUGGGGCCACACCCGCCCCAGGAGCCUGCUAACUUCGGGUCAUCUCUCCGGCUUGUCCGCAGAAGGCGGGAGCGUCCCCACUCUCUUCCGUCCGCCGCUGAAUUCAUCGGGUCUCCGGCCGGGAGGCCUCGGGAAUUGUUCAUCCGCGGCCACGGCCCCCAGCCCUGCGAUGACUGUUACCGCCUCGUGCAGAGUCACGGGACUGACUGGGUCUUCAACUCCAGGGAGACGGGGUUCCGAUGCCGCUGUGUGGGACUCGGGGCGACUCCUCUCAGCUGCUGCUCGCUACUCUAGGGCACGCGUGACUCUUCUCUGUGGGUCACCCGAACCCGGGCAGGUCUUCGCACUGUUUCCACCCAUAGAAUGGAAGUGAUAUUGUUUGGCUUCCCAGGUUAACUCCUUAAAACGCCCUGUUGUCUUGAGCUGUUUGCUCUUGGAAUCCAGCCAUCUUCUUGUGGGAGAGCCGGCAGCACAUGGAGAGACCUUGCCCUGGGCUGAAUAAUGUCCCCCAGAUCCGCACCCCCUAGAACCUGGGAAUGGACACUUGUUUGGAAACAGAUUCUUUGCAGAUAUAAUCGUUAGGGUGAAGUCAUGCUGAACUAGGACAGGCCCUAAAUCCCAAAUGACUGAUGCUGUUGUAAGAAGACAGGAGUCCAGACACAGCCUGUGGGGAGAAGGCUUUGGCGAUGGAGGCGGAGGCUGGGGCUCUGCCUCCAGCGACCAGCCCAGGACUGCAGGAGCCAGGAAGCUGAACGGGGCAAGCCAGGGUUCUGCUCUAGGACUCUGAGGGAGUAGGGUUCCACCAGCAUCUUGAAUUCUGGCCUGCAGAACUCGAAUAAAUUUCUGGUUUUUCACAGCA